UACCCCCUUUUCACUUUGCCAAUUGGACUUAUGUCUUUAUUGGUCAUUCAGGUGGGGGAAAGGAAAAGAUCCUUUUAAAACUCAAGCAAACUGAGUGUUUGUCUUGUAUCCUGUCAGAGGAAACAAAU
ensembl:snoRNA small nucleolar RNA, H/ACA box 27